UGACAAACAAACGACGGAAAUUACAUAAUAAAUCCACAGCGUGUAUCUUAAUAUAUUUGUCAGUACAUGGAUAACCCGAAUAAUCCAGUCGUUAUAUUACGAUCACUUCGGUCACUCCAUCAACCAUUUCAUUGACAACAGUAGAGGAUAGGGGCGCUGAAUUAUUCGAGUUAGUACAUGGAGGAAAGAUAUUCAAAGAUUAGGAGCGACAAUUCAAUAUCCAUUUGUGCAUUGUAUUUGUCGUGGUUGAAACGGCACCAGGAACAUAUCAGGAUAGACAACAAAAGUCUAGUGAGAAAAAUGUUGUGAAACACCAGCAAAAAAAGAUUAGAUUGUUAUUCAGUCCUGACUUAUACAGUGUUUCUGAAGAUGGAGAUUAGAUCAGGCCUAUCCAGAAGCAAGAAAAAGAACAAUUCAUAGCACGUACAUCUACAGAGAAAGACAUGUUUAAAAAAAACAGAUUUGUUUUCAAUUUUAGAAAAACCUGUUGAACUUUUACUAUUUCUUAUCUGUUUAUUUUACAUUUAUAUGUUGAUAUUUUGUUUUUUUAAAUUGCUGCACAGUUUUUCUAUUCAGUCCCAUAUAACAAAAUCAGCUGACGAAAUUUAUAUUUUCAUAUUUCAAGGGAGUGUCUUUUUGCAUUGUUGAUAGCAGAUAUAAGUAUUGUCUUAAGUUGGGUUUAAAAACAGUCAGAUCGCAACUUCAAAUAAAAUACAUUUUUAUGAAUGUUACAUGUCAUUAAAUAGACACGAAAGAUGGAAAAUUAUAUAGGAACACAUUUUUUAUGACCUAAAUGUAUUGUCAAGGUAAAUUUAUUAUGUGAACAUAUCAAAUAUUAUCAAAAACACUGCUGGUUUAAAAUAAAAUUAUUCUAUGUAGCCUAAUGUAAUCAUACAGAUCAGUGUAUUUUUUCCUAAACAAAUUUUACAUAUUUUUAUAACCAGAAUAAAUUUAUUCUGUGGGUCAACCUUAACAUAAUUACUGUACUAUCAAAAUAAAUUUAUUUUAUAUAUCAUAAUACUUUUAAUUCACAUUGAAUGUAGAAUAAAUUUAUUCUGUGUCGCCUCCUUAAUAUGAUAACUGUACUUUCAGAAUAAAUUUAUUUUAUAUAUUAUUA